CCUCCUGCUCCUUCUAUCUCAGCGUUUCCACCUUUCUCUCUUCUCUCAGGUUCCGUACGGCUCCGUACGGUAGUUUGCGGCAAAAUCAGAAGACCACACACCACACAAUUCACUGUUCCUGAUCUUUUAUAGGCUUAAACAUUACUUAGAUUAGAUUUAGGACUCCUUAAUCAACCCAAAUCAAGUCCCAGAUCGUUGGAUCA
rnacentral:lncRNA from 1 species